GACGAACGCUGGCGGCGUGCUUAACACAUGCAAGUCGAGCGGUAAGGCCCUUUCGGGGGUACACGAGCGGCGAACGGGUGAGUAACACGUGGGUGACCUGCCCUUAGCUCUGGGAUAAGCCUGGGAAACUGGGUCUAAUACCGGAUAUGACUCCAUGACGCAUGUUGUGGGGUGGAAAGCCUUGUGCGGCUAGGGAUGGGCCUGCGGCCUAUCAGCUUGUUGGUGGGGUGAGGCCUACCAAGGCGACGACGGGUAGCCGGCCUGAGAGGGCGACCGGCCACACUGGGACUGAGACACGGCCCAGACUCCUACGGGAGGCAGCAGUGGGGAAUCUUGCGCAAUGGGCGAAAGCCUGACGCAGCGACGCCGCGUGGGGAGUGACGGCCU
rnacentral:rRNA from 1 species